CCAGGAUCGCGCCCUGGACCAAAGGCAGGCGCCAAACCGCUGCGCCACCCAGGGAUCCCAGAGAUUGGGCCCUUUUUCCAGUCUUCCUUGACAUCCAAUUUCUGCCUGGGAGAUGUGGACAGACCAAGUCCUGAGAUGAUGGGGUAAAAGGAAGAGAGGUCCUGGGGGCCAGCCAAGACAGAAGGAGGAUCUCAAGGAAUUCAAUGGUGCCCAUCUACAGUGGGGAGAGCAAUUUGCCUUCCUCAGUCUGCCAAUUCCAACUGCUAAUCUCAUCUGGAAACACCCUCACUGACUCACCCAGAAAUAAUUUUUCACCAAAUAUCUGGAGACCCUGUGAUCCAGUCAAGUUGACACAUACAAUUCACCAUUACAGUCACUAAGUUUUGGAAUAAUUUGCAAUGCAGCAAUAGACGACUGAUUCAUAAGGCUCCUAAACUUUCCCUCAAUCCAAGGUGAUGCUGUAUAGUUAAAGACUUAGCUCUUUCAUUCAAAAAGAAGCUAUUAUUCUCUUUGCAGUUAAGAAAAAUAAUUUAGAACAUUUAUUUAAGUCUACACAGUAGGACCUAGAUUUAUGGUGACAAUUAAAGGACCAAAUAAAUAGUACUUUUGUAAGACCAUUCUGUAUAAUACAUUGCUUAAGAGUUCUCUUUCCAGAAUGUGCUUUUAAUUACUACCAAGAAUAUUUUUUUCUUUUAGAAGAUAUGUGCAAUCCACGAAAACCUUUGUUUUUAAAAAAUAUUUAUUUAUUUGUUUGUUUAUUUGAGAAAGAGACAGAGAGUGAGCA